CAAAAACACAGCUUAUCAGCUGACCGAGCGCAGUGACAGAAAGUGGAGCUAUGCUGUGGUAAAUUUCUGUUUUGACAUGUCAAUUCGUCUCUAAAUGUCCAUCCGUCUUCAGCGAGGGAAAAAAGAGGAAUGUCAACAGGAAGUAGAGCAACUUGCUGGUAUCUGAAAACAGUCAGAGGAGAGUGGAAGGAGUUGUUUCUCAACACAGAGUGAGACAUGGGCUCCGAGUACCGACCUCUGUCUCCGGCAGAGUCAUGUAGAAGUUUGUUUAUAGAGACAUCAGAGUGCUUUAUAUGCAGGGAUGGUGAACUUAAAGCCAGUGACCCGCUGAGGAAUUUCUGCGACUGCAAGAAUUUACUUGCCCAUCACGUGUGUCUGUCCACAUGGAUCCAGAGGGGAUGUGGGAGUGAAGACAGAGUGCGAUGCAUCAUCUGCAAGGCCAAGUACCAGCUGCAGAGGAGUUCCCCGUGGCGGUCGGUGAGCUUCCAGUGGCAGACGUGGCUCGUGCUGAUCACGGCGACCGUUUUGAUGAGUCUGGUGCCCUACGCUGUUUACUGCAUGAUGACAGCCUUCACCAACCCUCCUCCUCCCAGCACCUUUAAAGUGGCAGCAAUUUCCUUCGGUAUACUGACAGAGACCCUGCUCAUCAAGAAUGUGGCUACUCAACUGGUAAUUAAUAAAUAUGGUGGUGGUGGUGGUAAUGUGCUUCUGCAUCAUUAUGUUGUUGAAGCCCUUAUCCACACUAGUAAUGAGCUGUAAUUUUAUGACAGGAAGUUGGUUUGUUUACAGCAUGUUUGGCAGCGUCAGAUGGGCUGCGUUCUUAGCAGAUCUCGGCUGCAGGUAUUUGCUCAUUAUUCAAGUCAAAAGAGGUUCAAAUAUGUUUUAGUUCAAACGCUCGCACUCUUACAGGAAUCAUUCAUGCUGACAUGUGGUUUUCAGUGGUUAGCACAUUGAAGCAUCUCCUUUGUGCUAUUCAUGUUUCAAUGUGUCUACAUAACAAGUUAAACAGAUGAU
ensembl:lncRNA